UGGUCAUUGUUUUACAAGAAAGUGAGUGGAAGCUGUUUGUGUAACUUCUAUCAGCAUAAGGCUUUGCUUUGUUGACUUGUGUG